UCUUUUGUAGUCCAGUUGGUUAGGAUUCUCGGCUCUCACCCGAGAGACUUGGGUUCAAAUCCCGGCAACGAAA
rnacentral:tRNA from 1 species